rnacentral:misc_RNA from 1 species
UACGGAGGGUGCGAGCGUUAAGCGGCAUUACUGGGCGUAAAGCGCGCGUAGGCGGCUAAGUAAGCCGGUUGUGAAAGCCCCGGGCACAACCUGGGAAUGGCAUCCGGAACUGUUUAGCUAGAGUGCAGAAGAGGAAGGUAGAAUUCCCGGUGUAGCGGUGAAAUGCGUAGAGAUCGCGAGGAAUACCAGUGGCGAACGCGGCCUUCUGGUCUGACACUGACGCUGAGGUGCGAAAGCGUCGGUAGCAAACAGG